UAUUUAUUUUCUUUUGUAAAAUGGAGAGAAAAGACUCCUAUCUGCAUGGCGAUCAUUUGCACACAUAAUAUCCAUUUCGUGGGUUCAAUAAUUUACCAAAUGAAACUCCUAAGCUGUGAAAGGCAAAGGACAAAUAGAUAAAUUCUAUUGUCCAAAGACGGACCGGUUGGAUAGAGAAUCUUGAGGUUGUCCGAUAGAAGAAGCAGCCAGGAUGCGGGUUCUAUCGAAAGCUACGGACAGGUUCUUGAUUUGAAACGAGAAGAGAAGAUCGGUACGACUACAAACAAGAGAAGAGAUUUGCAUUUGCAAGUUGCAGAAGAUUCUUCUCAGCCGAUGUCCGAGAUUCACCAUUUUCUCGGUUCCCAAGCAAUACGAAUCUCGAGAUCCACCGAGAAGAAAAGAGCGAUGCAAACAUGUUAUGUGUCGAAUCCGUACAUCAAAGUUACUUUCGAUGAAAUCGUAACAAUCCCGUGACAAUGGGAAAGAUACGAAACACU